AUACAGGUGAAAGGAGAACUGGAUUCGCUGAUUAAGAUGCGUGAGGCGCUUCAAGAUGAGGUGCUGGCGGUGGAGGAGAGAUUGGAAGAAAAAGAAGUAGUGUGCUCAGAGUUACAAAAAAAGUCUAAGAGGUUAGAAGAUUUGU